rnacentral:lncRNA from 1 species
GAGCUUAUUAAGAAUUGGCCAAACAACAGGGAGGGAGAAUUCAAAGGAAUUACUGGAGUCAUAAGUUAUCAACUCAGUGGGGAACACUGUGAGUUUUCUUUCUAUUUCCUCUUUCCUAACAGUUUCCAAAUUAGGAAGAAGGCUUUAAGAGGAUUGCUUGUAGAGAUUGUCUGUCAAAAGAAGAGACUGGCCUCUCACUCUCUGGUUGAACAUGUACUUACAUUACUCGCAGUGCCUUUUUGAGUAGAAAGAACAGAGCGAGAUGGCAAGGUGAGGAGAAGACUAUACAAGUGGCCUUACUCCCACCAUUUGGUCUGGCAAAGAUGGCUGGGUUCUCCAUGGAUCAAAUGGACACAAAGGACAUAAUUAGCUGAACUUAACUCAACAGUGAGAGGACACUGGAAUCAAGACAUAGUGGGGUGUAUUCCUAGAGAAGAAAGUAGGGGCAUUGGAAGAGAUGAGCCAAGUGAGCCUCAAAAGUCAGGGCACGGUGCAGUGGGACAUGCAACAUCCCUGCAAAGUCUCCUAAAGAGCAAGAACCCUCAUUGUCGAACACCUGGAACACCUUCAUCUCAUGAGAGAGACAGGAUAUGGAUACCUGCCACCCAGAGGGUCAUUCCUGGCCAGGAAAGCAGAGACAGCUGACAGGCCCAUGGCUACACCCAGCCCUUUCCUAUGUGAUGGUCGGCAGAGCCCAUGGCAAAAACCACCCUUCAAGGCAUGGUUGGGUGACAGACAGAGGGUGCAGCAGGGGAAGCAGGAAGACCAGCUCAUGUAGGUGCGGCCGGUCAGAUCAUCACCUGGAGAGCUUCUGACCUCCUCCCGUGAACUCUCACCAGUUCCACUUCAGGUACCUCUUGCUCUUCUUGUGUUCAGCUUGCUCAUUCCCUCCAAAGAGGACAUUGCUCUAGAUUAUACUCCUCACCUCCCUCUACCAUCUCUCAGGUUGCAUUCAGUAUCAGAAAAUCCAAGA